rnacentral:pre_miRNA from 1 species
AUACCUGGGACUUGAGUCAAAGCCCAUUGAAAUCAAUGAAAAUCUUUCCAUUGACAUCAGUGGGCUUUGAAUCAGGCCUUUGGUAC